GAUGAACGCUAGCUACAGGCUUAACACAUGCAAGUCGAGGGGAAACGGCAUUAAGUGCUUGCACUUUUUGGACGUCGACCGGCGCACGGGUGAGUAACGCGUAUCCAACCUUCCCAUGACUAAGGGAUAACCUGCCGAAAGGCAGACUAAUACCUUAUGGUCUUCACUGACGGCAUCAGAUGUGAAGUAAAGAUUUAUCGGUUAUGGAUGGGGAUGCGUCUGAUUAGCUUGUUGGCGGGGUAACGGCCCACCAAGGCAACGAUCAGUAGGGGUUCUGAGAGGAAGGUCCCCCACAUUGGGACUGAGACACGGUCCAAACUCCUACGGGAGGCAGCAGUGAGGAAUAUUGGUCAAUGGGCGAGAGCCUGAACCAGCCAAGUAGCGUGCAGGAUGACGGCCCUAUGGGUUGUAAACUGCUUUUGUAUGGGGAUAAAGUCAAUCACGUGUGAUUGUUUGCAGGUACCAUACGAAUAAGGACCGGCUAAUUCCGUGCCAGCAGCCGCGGUAAUACGGAAGGUCCGGGCGUUAUCCGGAUUUAUUGGGUUUAAAGGGAGCGUAGGCUGGAGAUUAAGUGUGUUGUGAAAUGUAGACGCUCAACGUCUGACUUGCAGCGCAUACUGGUUUCCUUGAGUACGCACAACGUUGGCGGAAUUCGUCGUGUAGCGGUGAAAUGCUUAGAUAUGACGAAGAACUCCGAUUGCGAAGGCAGCUGACGGGAGCGCAACUGACGCUGAAGCUCGAAGGUGCGGGUAUCGAACAGG
rnacentral:rRNA from 1 species